CACAUCACUACAGAACGCAGUCUUCAGAGAUCUCUACGUGAACACUGUGAUACAUCUGACCUUCAGUCCGAAGCAGAAACCCAAACCAGUCUUAAAUGAAAGCACAAGUGAAACUUCUUUUACUCACAAACAUAUCUUUGAUUGUUAAGAAUUUAUGAUCUUGGUGGUGCUUGCAUACUGCAAUAUCACCACAUAAUAUAGUCCAAAAGGUGGAAGUUUGUAAACUUUUUAAAAAAUGCAAAGCCGUGUACACUUGUGCACUUCAAAAAUUCCUUGUAUACUAUACCUUCUUGCACGUCUCUGUUUCCUGUGUUGUUAGAAAUCAAACUGUAAUUUUAGGAAAAAUUAUGCCAAAAGCACAUUUACAAUUACUUAAGACCGCUUUUAAUUUCAUUUCUUUAGACCAAAUCCCCUGUACACAUAUACGGACUCCGAGGAUGAGCAGCCUACAAAAAAACGGUUUCCCCAGGCCCCUCGAGUGAAAAUACCAGCCCUCACCACUCCGCAGUCUGCCCCCCGCCCACUGAUAGCAACCAUCAUAAUGCCCCACCCAGCUGCCAGCACCUUUCGCCACUCCGGCACAACACACAAACUGACACAGCUUUGCGAUCUCCCCAGCAUGCAGAGUCUGAUGUCGAUGUCUUCCCUAUAGAUGAUUCCAGAGACUCUGUGAGGCCACUAUUACAAGGCAAGUUUGAAAAUCUUGGAAUUUCACAGUUUACAUGGUAUAACAAAUAUACGUGACAGGCAAAAACUAGUAAACACUUUUAGCAGUUACAAGAAAUAACAAAUGAAUAUCCAACAAAAGGGAAUAGAAAUACAUUGUACUGCAAAUACUUUGGUUUAUUCUUUGUAUGACUUGAAAAUCAGGCUUUAGGGAAAACUAAAUGACAUGUUUCUAUCAUCAAUUGCAUGAAGUAAACACACAAGCACUUGCAUACACAUUUAAGACACCUCCUGGGUGAGGUGCUCCGGGCAUGUCCCACCGGGAGGAGACACGCUGAAGAGAUUAUGUCUUGGCUGGCCUGGGAACGCCUUGGUGUUCCCCUGGACAAGCUAGAGGAGGUGACCAGGGAGAGGGAGGUCUGAGCUUCUCUGCUUGGGCUGCUGCUGCCGCGACCCGGCACCGGGUAAGUGGAAGAAGAUGGAUGAAUGGAAGUGAAUAUAACUAAACUGACUGCUUACUUGCAGGUUGAAAGAGAUGAGCUCUGAGAAGAGGUGAUGUGAAUCCGUGUUAGCAGAAUGGUACAAUAGGGCUGACCUGAGUUCCAAAGGUUCGAGGAGUGGUGGUGACAGGAGGGGAGGCAGAUGAAGCAGUGAGAGAUUUCCAAACGAGACAGUGAAUUAUCCAGGAGUCUGGAAGGUGGGCUAGAGCCAGAGUGAUGAGCCGAGGGGAUUUCCAGGUAAGUCUUAAGUCUUCCACGCCUGAUUGCCUCCAAACCAGCUCCAGGUGUGGAAAGCUGGUGAGGGGAAUCUAAACCGAAUUACAGUUGACAAAAAAGCUGCCAUUAUGUCUUAUAAAUGUGUUCACUCACUACCUGUAAAAAGUACAGCGAUGUUCUGGCAAAAACAGCUACCAGUACUUUACAGUUUUAUUUAUUUUACAAUAUUUUAGUAUUUUAUAAUUCAACAAAUUUUUACAGUGUGUUGAGAUGGAUGACUGACAGACUAUGAUUAUAAGAAUUAUAAAUAUACCUAAAUAUAAGUGCUUUCAAAGUGCUUUUUGAAAUGUGUGUAUGUCUGUAUGAACGAUGCUUGUAGUACGAAAGUCUUGCUCAGGUGCUCAGGUCGAGCAGAACAGCACUUUGAAUGUACCUGUCAAGUUCAGUCCUGACUGAGGACACCUCUGUGUUUGCCAUAGAAAGACUGAAUACUUUUUGGGGAAAUGCAAUAAUUACUGUGUGUUUUAGAGCAUUUUUACCUCCAUGUGGAAGAAUUUUUCUCACAUUGAAAAGUAACUCAAUGAGUCACUGAAGCAAAGGAUUUCAAUAAGCCAAGAUGAGGCUCUCAGAAAAUAUCAAGAUAAUGAGAAAUUUAAAUAAGAGAGAAGACUGUAAGAAUGUGAGGGAGCAGAAGAGAAUCACAUUUCCAUUAACACCAAGGUCAUUUAUCCAGCCCCACUCCUCAGCUGCAUUCAGAGGGAAACAGCAAAUCUCAUUUUCUGUGGUUCUCAUAAGUGGCGGAUCAACCACACUCACUUAUCAUUCUCUUAUGUGCUGUCUGCUCUGUUUUUCAUUCUUCUCUGCUUUGUUUUUACUAGUUGCAAUGGUCAUUGGCGGGGAGUUAAUUAGGACACCAGAAGCUGUUGAGCUUUUUCAUGCAGUUGUAGUCUUAUACAAAUAAUCCAGUCAGCCCUCUAGUCAUGUAUAUAUCCAAGUAUCCAACUUGCACAUGCUGUUUAUUAUAUGUGAAUGAAAUGUUUAAAAAAUAACUACCGAUUUACUGUAAUUAAAACCUGCCAAUGUAGCGAUUUUCAUCAAAACCAAAAGGCAAUGUAUGCUAUGGUUUUCAGAAUGAUCAGUGUGGGUGGCCAUUGUUUUUCUGAAAUAAGCCACAUCUUUGCUUAAAAAACAUUUUUUUGGGUUGGCAUCUAUCAUUAAGCAUGAUACACACACACACCCAGUAACACAGGAUAGUCCUGUGCAGUUGUAUUGUGAGUCACACCUCACAUGGACGUAUAGCACAUAGCACCUUCAUUUUUAAACACACAUUGUGAAAGCUUUAGGGUUUAAAACAAUGAUCAUCUCAGUGAAAUCCAUUCUGUAUGUGUUUGGACCUGUUGUUGUGGUUGUUGUUGAGACUGAGACCUGACAUUUUUUCUUCUGAGACUGAGACCUGACAACUUUUUUCCUGAGACCUGACGAUGUCCUAAAAUGUACACCGUACUCUGGUCUCAGUCCGCCUGCACCCACCCCUGGCCCUGGUCACUUGGUCGUUUUAGUGUUGAUAAUGUUCACGUCUCGGAUAGCCUCGGUUAGGGCAAUUCCGCUUCCAGUGUCCAUGCUUACCACAGGAAAAGCAGGCACCUGGGUCUCCUCCCCGCUGUUGUCGUUGUUGAUCGUGUCUUCGAUCACGUCUUCCUCCCCAGCCUCGGUAGCGCCAGCUGCCUUUACAGUGGAAGCCACCCCACGGGUUCACUGCAGCCUUGUACAGCGUUAAGGCUGCGUUGUGGAGGUCGGCGCUCUGUUUUUCCUCUUUCUUGCUUUUCCUUUCGUCAAGGUGGUUCUGAGCAUGGCGGGCAUGGCGUCGUAGUUCCGUUAGCCAAGGUUCAUUUUCCCUCCCCACUUGCAAACACCUUACUUUGGCUGCCACAUCUGAUCUUAGCCCCCGUAAAAUAUGGCCGCAGAGAUGGUGCUCACAUGUGGAGGCGGUGACGCCUGUCAUGUCGUCCUUCGGUAUUCCACCAUUAGCUUCAAAUACAUUUAUCAUACGAUGUAUGAAAUAAUCCACAGAUUCGUCCUGGGUUUGCUUGUAAGUCUGACAAUAUCCAUAGUUUUCUUCAUGCUCGUAGGUCAGGUGUCUUACCCCGAGCGUAGGGUCAGGCAAAUGUGGUGAUAUUUUCCUCACGUUACAUGGUUCCAGCUUGCCUGCUGCUGCGCCUCCAAUUUCUUGACCCGUGGGACAAUACUCAGGCUGAUCUGUGGCAAAGGGCAGGACGUAAUAUCCAUUAGCCCGUGGCGCGCUCCAUGUGUGGCUAAGUGCUUGGAGGGCCCCUCUCGGCCCUCUGCCCGGUUUGAGUGUCACUUCUAACGCUUCCUCUUGGCGGAGCUGCCACUCUCCAGCCGCUGAACUGGCGCUGCCGUCUAUUGGCGGUGUGUCGUGUGGUGCAGAGCAGGAUCGGGAGGGAAAGGAGUCCAGGUCGGCAUCGGCUUUCAGGCCCUGCAAAACAGCCUGUACUAGGGCACAAGGAGAAGCACAAACAGUGCGUGAACAGGGAAAUGAUGUUUUGUUCUCCAUGUUAUACAGAGGCGGAAGAGGCGCUGAGGCAGAUUCUGCAUCAGCCUCCCUUCCAUGCACUUCUCUAGGCAACUCUUUCAGGGCUGCUUUCUUUUCCCUCCUUUCUGCUUCCAUCAUCCACAUUUUCAAACAUUCCUUCUCAUCGCUUACCCUACGCAAAUCUACAGUGUUAACUUUCCCUUUCUUCAAUAAUUUUGCUUCCUCCUUCCGCAACUGUUUCAGAGAGGUACAGUUACACGUGUUAUUGUCUAAAACUUUAUAAGUCAACAGCUCAUUUGUUCUAGCUAAUGAGGUGUAAUAUUCAUGUCGCAGAAGAGUUUUUAUUUCUUUGUAAAAAGGUAUUUUAAGUUCACUAGCUUCAGGUCCCUUUUCAGAAAAGAAUUAUACAGUAAGAAUUAUACAAAAAGGCUUUUUUCAGAGAACACAGAAUGGGUUAACAACCCAGCAGUGGAGGAUGAUCAAGACUUGAAAGCUGGUGCUACUAAUUCCUACAGCUGUUCCAAUUUUUCUGGAUUUCUUCCCCCUCUGUCUGCAUAAAAGCAGUGUUGGAACACACUGUGGUACCAUACCCUUGUGAGCAUCAGUUGAACAGUAUUGUACUGCAGAAAGUAGAGUGUUGCUAUAAAAAUGGCAAGAAAAAGGGCAAUUGACAAUGGAAGAGAGACAGACCAUCAUAAGACGUAUAAAUGUAGGUCUGUGCUACCGAGAGACUGCAAAGAAAGUUAAGGUGUCAGUGAGGACAGUUUCCUUCAAAGGCUCAGAAACAAACUGACAGGAAGAGGUCUGCAGACCCAAAGACACGACUGAACUGGAGUUUCUGAGAGUUAACAGGCGGCUCACAGGACAACAGCUUCAAGCAGCUUCAUAGUGGUCGUAGUGAGCAAGUCUCAGUUUCAGCUGUGAGGAGAAACUUCGAGCUGCAGGUUUGACAGGAUGCAGCAAGAAAGCCAGACGUCAGAAUAAGACAAAGAGGCUUGUCUGGACAUUGAAACACCACCACUGGACUACUGAAGACUGGAAGAAGGUUUUAUGGAUGAUGGGUCAACAUUUGAAAUCUUUGGUUCAUCACGGAGGAUCUUUGUACGCCGUGGAGUAGGUGAAAGGUUGGUUCCACAGUGUGUGGCAUCAACUGUCAAAUGCUGAGAGGAAAUGUCUUUCAGUUGACAGUGGAUUAUAACCCUGCAUCACAAAAAGUGGAAAAAGAUGUAUAAAAUGUACACAAAAGCAGAAUUUUAAAAUGUACAAUCAUGAAAAAACUGCAAUUAAUGUCAAUAUUUUGCUUUAAUAUCUUUUUAAAAUUAUAAAUAUAUGCUUAGACUGAAUUUGACGGUAGACACAUGUUUCUUGCAAACACACUGUCAUAAACCUAACCUGACACAUUCACCCUGUGAAAGGAGACCCACAUAAACAACUGAGCACUAAGGACUAUACCCCAGUGUUGCCAGUGCUGCUGACUGGAAACAAGCCAUGCCUCCUUUCCAGUACCUACAUAAAGGAAGUUGGGGGGGGGAGAGCCGCCAAGACAAAAGUCAACCUUCACUCAGGCAACAUGGUGUCAUGGUCCUGAGUCGAGCGACCCAGUGUUUUAAGUUUUAUGUAUCUUUUGUAUUCAUUUGUGACUAGCUUAGUUCACCUAGUUAAUUUCUAGA